rnacentral:lncRNA from 1 species
AUGAGAUCCUCUUGUGAGAAACUCUAAACCCAACUAAAAGACUACUCACUAAUCUUCAUGGAAAUCCUUAAGCACAUGUUAAGAUCAAGGAUAAACAUGAUUUAGAAAGAUAAUCUAAAAUAAACAGAAGCAUAUCUGAUAAACUAAGAACUGAAACAAGUGUAGAGAGAAGUUUGCAAAGAUAGACAAAAGGACAAGAUAAAAGCAGAUGUUCCUAGGGUUUUCCCCUUUACACAUAUAUAUAGUCCUAAGAAAAUAAGUCAAAAGCCAAAGCUAAACGCCAAACGCUAUUUUUCGCGAUCUGAGGUGCGACAGCGUUUUGGAAACGCGCGUUUGCGUUAGGUCUUCAUCUUUUUUGUUUCUGCUUCUCGAGCUUCUUCUCGCGUAGAUUCCAUCUCCGCUGUACCAGCCUUGCCGUUCCUCGCUGUCGUCUCUUCUCUCGCCACCAGAGUCGUCACGAACCGUCUGCAUCUUCUUCUUCUUCGCGGUGCAACAGAGGAGGCGUCGACGUUGAACCGAGCACGUGGAAUCGAGAGCGCCACAUCGAGAAGUCUGGAUCGAGCACAUUGCUCGCUUAGGGCUUUACGGUUCAUGGUCUUCGCGCUGGGCGUCGAGGGUUCUGGAUCGAGCAAUACAGAUCGAGUCUAUCGAUCGCUUGGAAUUCAUGAGCUGAGGCCUUAGUCGAGACGACCGGAUCGAACUCGACGAAGCAAAGCCAGCGACCACUUCGUCUUCCUCGUUUCUCAAAAGCCACUUUUCUUUAUUUGCACGUUUGGUCCGUGGCUUUUUGUUCCUCUUUGAUUUUGACCCCGCAACUUUCAAAUGUGCAG